GCCUGCAUGGCAUAGUGGCUGAGUGUAAGACUGCGACUCUGGAGAUCAGGGUUCAAUUCCCUGCUCAGCCA